rnacentral:tRNA from 1 species
GGGCCGGUGGCGGAAUUGGUAUACGCGACGGACUUAAAAUCCGUUGGCUUCGGUCUUGAGGGUUCGAGUCCCUCCCGGCCCACCA